GUAUUUACCUGGCAGGGGAGAUACUAUGAUCACGAAGAUGGUUUUCCCAGGAUAAGGCUUAUUCAUUGUACUCCAGAUGUGCUGACCCCUGAGAUUUCCCCAAAUGCAGGAAACUCAACUACAUAAUUUGUGGUAGUGAGGGACUGUGUUCCCACUUUUAAA
rfam:Heterocephalus glaber contig103346, whole genome shotgun sequence.